UGCCUCGGGCCUGCUGUUCGCAAAGCCCCCAGCGUCGUCCUCUGGGGGGCAUCGGGGGGCCCUGCGCCUCGCUGAGCAAGGACACCCCCUCAGAGUCGCACACUCGGGCUGGGCCGCGCUGCCCCAGGAAGGGCUCCACCGCCCGGGGUUUUGGCCUGGCUGAACCGCCUCAGGGACUACAGAGCACGUGCUGGAGGCAAUUAAUUAUCGGAAUGUGGCCAUAUCAAAACGGACACCGGGCACCGGAGAGAUGGCGGCCAGGCUGUGAGGCUGCCUCAAGGCUCAGACUUUGGGGACUCGGCCCGUUGGAGAUGUGACAAUCCCAGCCGUGUUUCUGUGGGCCUUUUCUUUCCACUCCCACUCGCCUGCAUUCUUUGCAAACGCACUG